UUGCAUGGAAAGGUAUUUUUUCAGAUCACUCGUAGUCACACAAAGGUAUUUGACCUCUACAGAUUGUCCACAUGAAGAAUGGAUACUGAUCAGGCUCCUCGGGAGUGCUAGCUCGCAAGGAUCUUUGAAGGCUGAUCUUCUUCUUCUUCCUUUGAUCUCUUAGAUGCUCUAAAGAGAAAGAAGGAUUAAUGGAGGAAGAG
rnacentral:lncRNA from 1 species